rnacentral:rRNA from 1 species
UACAGAGACUGCAAGCGUUAUUCGGAUUCACUGGGCGUAAAGGGUGCGCAGGCGGUUGGGUGUGUCAGAUGUGAAAUCCCGAGGCUCAACCUCGGAACUGCGUCUGAAACUACUCGACUAGAGUACUGGAGAGGGAAACGGAAUUCACGGUGUAGCAGUGAAAUGCGUAGAUAUCGUGAGGAACACCAGAGGCGAAGGCGGUUUCCUGGACAGUUACUGACGCUCAGGCACGAAAGCAUGGGGAGCAAAGAG